rnacentral:misc_RNA from 1 species
AGCAGCCGCGGUAAUUCCAGCUCCAAUAGCGUAUAUUAAAGUUGCUGCAGUUAAAAGCUCGUAGUUGAAUUUCGGGACUAAUAUGUCGGUCGUGCCUCGGUACGUACUGGUUUAUUGGUUUCUCCUUUCUGAAGAACCAUGAUGUCAUUUAUUUGGUGUCGUGGGGAAUCAGGACUGUUACUUUGAAAAAUUAGAGUGUUUAAAGCAGGCUCACGCUUGAAUACAUUAGCAUGGAAUAAUGAAAUAGGACGUUUGAUUCUAUUUUGUUGGUUUCUAGGAUCGACGUAAUGAUUAAUAGGGAUAGUUGGGGGCAUUAGUAUUCAAUUGUCAGAGGUGAAGUUCUUGGAUUUAUUGAAGACUAACUACUGCGAAAGCAUUUGCCAAGGAUGUUUUCAUUAAUCAAGAACGAAAGUUAGGGAUCGAAGACGAUCAGAUACCGUCGUAGUCUUAACCAUAAACUAUGCCGACUAGGGAUCGGAUGAUGUUAAUUUUUAAUGACUCAUUCGGCGCCUUACGGGAA